GUGGGGGAUAUUGCACAAUGGGGGAAACCCUGAUGCAGCGACGCCGCGUGUGGGAAGACGGUCCUCUGGAUUGUAACCCACUGUCCCCAGGGACGAAGAUGACGGUACCUGGGGAGGAAGCUCCGGCCAACUCGGUGCCAGAAGCCGCGGUAAUACGUAGGGAGCGAGCGUUGUCCGGAAUUACUGGGUGUAAAGGGAGCGUAGGCGGGAUGGCAAGUUGGGUGUUAAAUCUACCGGCUCAACCGGUAGCCGCACUCAAAACUGCCGUUCUUGAGUGAAGUAGAGGCAGGCGGAAUUCCUAGUGUAGCGGUGAAAUGCGUAGAUAUUAGGAGGAACACCAGUGGCGAAGGCGGCCUGCUGGGCUUUUACUGACGCUGAGGCUCGAAAGUGUGGGGAGCAAACAGG
rnacentral:rRNA from 1 species